rnacentral:tRNA from 1 species
GCACCAGUGGUCUAGUGGUGGAAUAGUACCCUGCCACGGUACAGACCUGGGUUCGAUUCCCAGCUGGUGAA